rnacentral:rRNA from 1 species
AUUGAACGCUGGCGGCAGGCCUAACACAUGCAAGUCGAACGAGUGGCGGACGGGUGAGCAAUGUCUGGGAAACUGCCCGAUGGAGGGGGAUAACUACUGGAAACGGUAGCUAAUACCGCAUACCAUCGGAUGUGCCCAGAUGGGAUUAGCUAGUAGGAGGGGUAACGGCUCACCUAGGCGACGAUCCCUAGCUGGGCUGAGAGGAUGACCAGCCACACUGGAACUGAGACACGUUCCAGACUCCUACGGGAGGCAGCAGUGGGGAAUAUUGCACAAUGGGCGCAAGCCUGAUGCAGCCAUGCCGCGUGUAUGAAGAAGGCCUUCGGGUUGUAAAGUACUUUCAGCGGGGAGGCGUUACCCGCAGAAGAAGCACCGGCUAACUCCGUGCCAGCAGCCGCGGUAAUAC